UCAUUUGUGAUAACAGUAAUAAUUGUACAAUUGGUUAUGUUUUCCAAAAGAAGAGAAGUUGAUAUCUACAGGGGUGUUGUCUUUGAUUUCUAGAAAUUCUGAAGGAAAGCAGUUACAUGCCAAAGAUAGGUUUGUGGCAGACACUCCAGACUGUUGUUUUGUCAACCCAGAGCAUGCUUCAGAUCUGCCUCUACUGGUCCUCAUAUGGCAUCUCCAGCACAUGAGUUCAGAAGUUUCAGGAUAUAGGCACUUCUGUGUCUGGCCUAUGACAAGGCAGAACAUUACACAGGGAGAGCAAUACUGAAGUGCAGCCAGGACCCAGAUGGGGAAUAAACUGGGGACAAGUGUAUUCUUCAAAGAUACUCCAGUGACCUACCUCUUCCAACUAGAACGCACCCUCCAAUGAAAUCCAUCUAUGGACUAAUCUCCUGCUGAUGUUAGAGAUUACAUCUAUGUAUGUAUGCUGAAAAUGAAUAAGGAAAA